GCUCUGCCCGGGGGCUGUGGGCACAGGGCGGGUGGUGAGCUCGGGGGUGCGAGCUAACCUGAGACUGGAAAAAGGCAUACGCGGGAUGAAGGAACUGCGCUGUGUCCAGUUCAGGGCUCCUCAGGAGAAGAGAGACAAGGAGCUACUGGAGUCAGUCAAGUGGAGGAGCACAAAGAUGAUUUGGGGCCUGGAGCAUUUCUCUUCUGAGGGCAGACUGCAGGAGCUGGGCCUGAGAUGACUGGGAGAGAAUCUCCGUAAUGCGUAUAAAUAAAGUGGAUGCCAAGACGGUAGUGCCAGACUCUUUCCAGUGAUGCCAGGAGACAAACUAAGGAUCAGUGGCCAUAAAUUAAACCACAAUUACACUGAAA